AUGAAUCUACCUUUAGUCUGGUCUGUUUCAUUCUAAAGGUGGUUAGAAUCACAGUAAUGAUAUUUUUCUGACCAUUGUCGAAAAAAAAAACGCUGGCUAAGACUGUACAUCUAUUUAAAGGGCUUGCAAAACUUUUUCUGCAGGGAACAGUUCCAGGAAAAAGAAGGAGAGGCAGAUAAAAGAUGCAAUGGGGGACAACAUUAUGAACUGUACAGCCCUGUCUAUGGAAAAGCUGCUUAUUCUGGCAAAAGAAAGUAAUGGAGAGAAUUUACCAACAGUUCAUGGAUGCCCUAAAAAGACUAAAGGAUUACUGAAGACAUGCCUACCGCCAAGACCCAGAAUGUGGAACACUCAGGUUGAAAAUGUGGAAUUUUGGGCCCCAAUGUGGAACAUACACGCGGUUACGUUUGUCAGCCAUACUGUACGCAAUAAAGAAAAGUCUUGAUUUUUGUGA